AACGAACGCUGGCGGCAGGCUUAACACAUGCAAGUCGAGCGCCCCGCAAGGGGAGCGGCAGACGGGUGGGUAACGCGUGGGAAUCUACCCAUCUCUACGGAAUAACGCAUGGAAACGUGUGCUAAUACCGUAUACGUCCUUCGGGAGAAAGAUUUAUCGGAGAUGGAUGAGCCCGCGUUGGAUUAGCUAGUUGGUGGGGUAAAGGCCUACCAAGGCGACGAUCCAUAGCUGGUCUGAGAGGAUGAUUAGCCACACUGGGACUGAGACACGGCCCAGACUCCUACGGGAGGCAGCAGUGGGGAAUAUUGGACAAUGGGCGCAAGCCUGAUCCAGCCAUGCCGCGUGAGUGAUGAAGGCCCUAGGGUUGUAAAGCUCUUUCACCGGUGAAGAUAAUGACGGUAACCGGAGAAGAAGCCCCGGCUAACUUCGUGCCAGCCGCCGCAGUAAAAC
rnacentral:rRNA from 1 species